UGAACCUUAUCAUUUAGAGGAAGGAGAAGUCGUAACAAGGUUUCCGUAGGUGAACCUGCGGAAGGAUCAUUGUCGAAACCUGCCUAGCAGAACGACCCGCGAACUUGUUUUACACUUGGUGGGGGCCACGAUGGCAUCCGCCUCGUGAUCCCCCAUCGUUGUCGGAGUGAAGGACAUUUGCCCUUCGCUUCGGUGACAGAACAACGAACCCCGGCGCGGACUGCGCCAAGGAAACUUAACAAGAGAGCUUGCUCCUGUCGCCUCCGGGAACGGUGUACGACUUGGGAGCAUUGCCUUCUUUCAUUAUCCAUAACGACUCUCGGCAACGGAUAUCUCGGCUCUCGCAUCGAUGAAGAACGUAGCGAAAUGCGAUACUUGGUGUGAAUUGCAGAAUCCCGUGAACCAUCGAGUCUUUGAACGCAAGUUGCGCCCUAAGCCUUUAAGCCGAGGGCACGUCUGCCUGGGUGUCACGCAUCAUUGCCCCCUCAACCCCAAGCCUCACACGCGGCGUGGGAUGUGUUGCGGGGGCGGAUACUGGCCUCCCGUACGAUGGGGCUUCCAUCUCGCGGUUGGCCCAAAUAUGAGUCGUCGACAGCAGAUGUCGCGACGUUCGGUGGUGGAAGAAUCAAGAAACCUCGAGCUCGCGUCGCGCGUAUGUCGUCGGUGUAAG
rnacentral:rRNA from 1 species